UACAGAGGAGCCAAGCGUUGUCCGGAUUGACUGGGCGUAAAGCGCACGCAGGCGGACGCGCGCGUGGGGUGUGAAAUCUGGCCGCUUAACGGCCAGGCGCCAUCCCAUACGGCGCGUCUGGAGUGAUGCAGAGGUCGAUGGAAUUGCCGGUGUAGUGGUGAAAUGCGUAGAGAUCGGCAGGAACACCCAGGGGGAAACCAGUCGACUGGGCAUCUACUGACGCUGAGGUGCGAGAGCGUGGGGAGCGGAACCGG
rnacentral:rRNA from 1 species